UACGUAGGGGGCAAGCGUUGUCCGGAUUCAUUGGGCGUAAAGAGCUCGUAGGCGGUUCGGCAAGUCGGGUGUGAAAACUCCAGGCUCAACCUGGAGACGCCACCCGAUACUGCUGUGACUUGAGUCCGGUAGGGGACCACGGAAUUCCGGGUGUAGCGGUGGAAUGCGUAGAGAUCCGGAAGAACACCGGUGGCGAAGGCGGUGAGCUGGGCAGUUGCUGACACUGAGGCGCGACAGCGUGGGGAGCAAACAGG
rnacentral:rRNA from 1 species